rnacentral:rRNA from 1 species
UACGUAGGGUGCGAGCGUUGUCCGGAAUUAUUGGGCGUAAAGGGCUCGUAGGCGGUCUGUCACGUCGGGAGUGAAAACUCGGGGCUUAACCCCGAGCCUGCUUCCGAUACGGGCAGACUAGAGGUAUGCAGGGGAGAACGGAAUUCCUGGUGUAGCGGUGAAAUGCGCAGAUAUCAGGGGGAACACCGGUGGCGAAGGCGGUUCUCUGGGCAUUACCUGACGCUGAGGAGCGAAAGUGUGGGGAGCGAACAGG